rnacentral:rRNA from 1 species
CAUACCUAUUCGAAGGGAUAGGGUCGGUUUGGCCGGAUUUCACACAGGUGUUGCAUGGCUGUCGUCAGCUCGUGUCGUGAGAUGUUGGGUUGAGUCCCGCAACGAGCGCAACCCUCAUCCUUAGUUACCAUCAGGUUAUGCUGGGGACUUUAAGGAAACUGCCAGUGAUAAACUGGAGGAAGGUGGGGAUGAUGUCAAGUCAUCAUGGCCCUUAUGGAGUGGGCUACACACGUGCUACAAUGGUGAUUACAAUGGGCUGCAAGGUCGCAAGGCUGAGCUAAUCCUAAAAAAUCAUCUCAGUUCGGAUUGUUCUCUGCAACUCGAGAGCAUGAAGUUGGAAUCGCUAGUAAUCGUGGAUCAGCAUGCCACGGUGAAUACGUUCUCGGGUCUUGUACACACUGCCCGUCACGCCAUGGGAAUUGGUUUCACUCGAAGCU